AGCAGCCGCGGUAAUUCCAGCUCCAAUAGCGUAUAUUAAAGUUGCUGCAGUUAAAAAGCUCGUAGUUGAAUUUCGGGACUAAUAUGUCGGUCGUGCCUCGGUACGUACUGGUAUUUUUGGUUUCUCCCUUCUGACGAACCUUGAUGUCAUUAAUUUGGUGUCUUGGGAAAUCAGGACUGUUACUUUGAAAAAAUUAGGGUGUUUAAAGCAGGCUCACGCUUGAAUACAUUAGCAUGGAAUAAUGAAAUAGGACGUUUGAUUCUAUUUUGUUGGUUUCUAGGAUCGACGUAAUGAUUAAUAGGGAUAGUUGGGGGCAUUAGUAUUCAAUUGUCAGAGGUGAAAUUCUUGGAUUUAUUGAAGACUAACUACUGCGAAAGCAUUUGCCAAGGAUGUUUUCAUUAAUCAAGAACGAAAGUUAGGGGAUCGAAGACGAUCAGAUACCGUCGUAGUCUUAACCAUAAACUAUGCCGACUAGGGAUCGGAUGAUGUUAAUUUUUUAAUGACUCA
rnacentral:rRNA from 1 species